AAAGGCGUGAGCUCCCUGUCCAUCCCAAUCCAAACAACAUGUUCAAAUACCCUCCAUUUCCCGGAUUAUUCCCAUUGUCAAGAUGAAUCAUUAGCAUUGAACUCGUCGAUCCUAAAUCUGUUGAAUUAAUACUCGCCAGAUCCGCGUAAAGCUCCUCAACAGGCCUUGUUACCAUUCUUGCAUCAAUCUGAUCCAACCUGAGAACACUCCUUAGAACCUUUGCCAUGUAUGAAUCUACUCUCUGUGACUGGUUUGAUGAGACCAAACAUGGAACU
rnacentral:lncRNA from 1 species